AUGGGAUAAGGACAUGGUGUGGCGAGGCGCGCAAAGUUAUCAGGGAGUCACCACAGGGAGAAGCCGCCGACUGCUUUAAACGAGGCAAUGUUUGUUCGGUAGCGAGCCCAUUCCUCAGUGUACCCAACGCUAACGUAAUUUCCGCCAGCCUGAACCUUACCGGCACCGUCGCACACCUCCUUUGUUUGCUAUCCACAUCCUGCCCAAACUGAUCCAGGUGUAUCAGUAUAUUGAAGCGUUCCGAAAAACCAAGGGACCACGAUAACAAAUUAAUGCUGGCAGUGGCAGUAGUGCGAGCGCUGAGAGAGGGCGUGAACGCCACACCCCAGGGAUCACCUGUGCAAAACUAAUGAGGCUUCAACUCCCAGCUUUUCAAGCACCAUCAUGGGUCACAACUGCAUGCUUACUGGCCAUUGGAAUAUCCAACAACUAAUGGCACAUGCCAAUAAAGAGAGCAGCAGUGUGUGCCUGGCCAGCAGGUCUACCAGCUGUUGAAGCCACAUCUGGCAGCUUCACAACCUCAAUCUACAUUCUCGAUUUCACUUACAGCUUCAUGCCAGUAACUCCAUUGAAUUUACAUCUAGUAGUGUCCAUGUCCUGCUCAGAAGACAGCAGUGUUCAUGCCGGCAUCACUAUUAAGGCUUCUAUGGACUAGGUGGACAAAAAUAUUGUUACUGGUUGUCACUUGACUUCCCAGUUACAUGAUGUUUUAACUAUUUGUUGGCAACCCAUGCCCUGACUCGUGUCAAAAAGUCGGGAGCUGCUGACCUGACUUGAACAUUACAUGUAGUGACACCUGCUAAUGAUACUUAUAAUCUUUUUAAGUCUUUUGACUUUGUUAACUUGGUAAAAUAAAAUCAUAUUCAAAUGUUUUUUUGUACUUUAAAUAAUUUUUGUUACCUGGGUUACAGUUUACACAACCCUGUAAUGGAGUAAUGAAGCAAUGGUAAUUUGUGUUCUAAUUUUUCAUGUAAUAUCAAGCAAUGUUCUCUGAUUUAUGAGCAAUAAGUAACAAAAUUACACUGUGGAGUAAUACUGCCAAUCUCUGAAUGUGGGUGUUUGAAAGGAAGAAAUGUAAAAUGACCCAUGCAACACUAGACAACUGAAUAGUGGUCAGUGAAGAUCAGGUCCCUCCUCCCAUAAAGGUCUAGAGGUUAAAAUAUGAUUUCAAUCCAGUAUUAAGGAAUGUUUGAUAAUAACUCAUUGUGAGUUUAUAGAUUUUGGAUGUCUUGUCUCAAGAAUGAACAAAACAGUUUAAGCUCAUCAACCCAUAUACUAAAGGACCUAUAUGAGAAAUGCAAACAACUUCCAUAUUACCAAAAUGGAAAUGUGUACAGAGGAUAAAUAUAAAGUAAUCAUCCUUCAGAAACUCCUGAAAUUCAGAAACUUCUGAAGAGCAGAAUUAAACAAACAGACAGAAAAGUGUUAGCUGUGGUGCAGCUGGUGAAAUAAAUUGUGACUUGUAUUUAUGUUAUGACUCCCUUCAUUUGUAAGACAAUGGAGCAAACCUGGUACACCACAAAUGCAUUCCUUAAUAUGCAUGAGAAGGGAAGUAUUACCAAAAAUCCAAUCACACAGAGGAUCUGUUUGGU